ACGGAGGGUGCGAGCGUUAAUCGGAAUUACUGGGCGUAAAGCGCGCGUAGGUGGUUUGUUAAGCGUGAUGUGAAAGCCCCGGGCUCAACCUGGGAACUGCAUCACGAACUGGCAGGCUAGAGUACUGUAGAGGGUAGUGGAAUUCCUGGUGUAGCAGUGAAAUGCGUAGAUAUCAGGAGGAACACCGGUGGCGAAGGCGGCUACCUGGACAGAUACUGACACUGAGGUGCGAAAGCGUGGGGAGCAAACAGG
rnacentral:rRNA from 1 species